UGACUGCGUACCUUUUGUAUAAUGGGUCAGCGACUUAUAUUCUGUAGCAAGGUUAACCGUAUAGGGGAGCCGGAGGGAAACCGAGUCUUAAUUGGGCGUUAAGUUGCAGGGUAUAGACCCGAAACCCGGUGAUCUAGCCAUGGGCAGGUUGAAGGUUGGGUAACACUAACUGGAGGACCGAACCGACUAAUGUUGAAAAAUUAGCGGAUGACCUGUGGCUGGGGGUGAAAGGCCAAUCAAACCGGGAGAUAGCUGGUUCUCCCCGAAAGCUAUUUAGGUAGCGCCUCGUGAAUUCAUCUCCGGGGGUAGAGCACUGUUUCGGCUAGGGGGCCAUCCCGGCUUACCAACCCGAUGCAAACUGCGAAUACCGGAGAAUGUUAUCACGGGAGACACACGGCGGGUGCUAACGUCCGUCGUGAAGAGGGAAACAACCCAGACCGCCAGCUAAGGUCCCAAAGUCAUGGUUAAGUGGGAAACGAUGUGGGAAGGCCCAGACAGCCAGGAUGUUGGCUUAGAAGCAGCCAUCAUUUAAAGAAAGCGUAAUAGCUCACUGGUCGAGUCGGCCUGCGCGGAAGAUGUAACGGGGCUAAACCAUGCACCGAAGCUGCGGCAGCGAACGUAUCACCCAAGACAACUUUACGGAGUUGACGAUUGACGGAGCGAAGCGACGUCAAAGCGUUCAUUAAAGUCGAGUUGGCUUAGGGAUACGUUCGUUGGGUAGGGGAGCGUUCUGUAAGCCUGUGAAGGUGUGUCGUGAGGCAUGCUGGAGGUAUCAGAAGUGCGAAUGCUGACAUAAGUAACGAUAAAGCGGGUGAAAAGCCCGCUCGCCGGAAGACCAAGGGUUCCUGUCCAACGUUAAUCGGGGCAGGGUGAGUCGACCCCUAAGGCGAGGCCGAAAGGCGUAGUCGAUGGGAAACGGGUUAAUAUUCCCGUACUUGGUGUUACUGCGAAGGGGGGACGGAGAAGGCUAUGUUGGCCGGGCGACGGUUGUCCCGGUUUAAGCGUGUAGGUGUGUGUUCCAGGUAAAUCCGGUUCACUUUAACACUGAGGCGUGACGACGAGGCACUACGGUGCUGAAGCAACAAAUGCCCUGCUUCCAGGAAAAGCCUCUAAGCAUCAGGUAACAUCAAAUCGUACCCCAAACCGACACAGGUGGUCAGGUAGAGAAUACCAAGGCGCUUGAGAGAACUCGGGUGAAGGAACUAGGCAAAAUGGUGCCGUAACUUCGGGAGAAGGCACGCUGACACGUAGGUGAAGUGAUUUACUCAUGGAGCUGAAGUCAGUCGAAGAUACCAGCUGGCUGCAACUGUUUAUUAAAAACACAGCACUGUGCAAACACGAAAGUGGACGUAUACGGUGUGACGCCUGCCCGGUGCCGGAAGGUUAAUUGAUGGGGUCAGCGUAAGCGAAGCUCCUGAUCGAAGCCCCGGUAAACGGCGGCCGUAACUAUAACGGUCCUAAGGUAGCGAAAUUCCUUGUCGGGUAAGUUCCGACCUGCACGAAUGGCGUAAUGAUGGCCAGGCUGUCUCCACCCGAGACUCAGUGAAAUUGAACUCGCUGUGAAGAUGCAGUGUACCCGCGGCAAGACGGAAAGACCCCGUGAACCUUUACUAUAGCUUGACACUGAACAUUGAGCCUUGAUGUGUAGGAUAGGUGGGAGGCUUUGAAGUGUGGACGCCAGUCUGCAUGGAGCCGACCUUGAAAUACCACCCUUUAAUGUUUGAUGUUCUAACGUGGACCCGUAAUCCGGGUUGCGGACAGUGUCUGGUGGGUAGUUUGACUGGGGCGGUCUCCUCCUAAAGAGUAACGGAGGAGCACGAAGGUUGGCUAAUCCUGGUCGGACAUCAGGAGGUUAGUGCAAUGGCAUAAGCCAGCUUGACUGCGAGCGUGACGGCGCGAGCAGGUGCGAAAGCAGGUCAUAGUGAUCCGGUGGUUCUGAAUGGAAGGGCCAUCGCUCAACGGAUAAAAGGUACUCCGGGGAUAACAGGCUGAUACCGCCCAAGAGUUCAUAUCGACGGCGGUGUUUGGCACCUCGAUGUCGGCUCAUCACAUCCUGGGGCUGAAGUAGGUCCCAAGGGUAUGGCUGUUCGCCAUUUAAAGUGGUACGCGAGCUGGGUUUAGAACGUCGUGAGACAGUUCGGUCCCUAUCUGCCGUGGGCGCUGGAGAACUGAGGGGGGCUGCUCCUAGUACGAGAGGACCGGAGUGGACGCAUCACUGGUGUUCGGGUUGUCAUGCCAAUGGCACUGCCCGGUAGCUAAAUGCGGAAGAGAUAAGUGCUGAAAGCAUCUAAGCACGAAACUUGCCCCGAGAUGAGUUCU
rnacentral:rRNA from 1 species